rnacentral:lncRNA from 1 species
UAGUUCUUUUAUCGGCGUCUCUCGUCUUUUCUCCCCUUUCAGUUGGUUUUUAGAAACUUUCGGUUCGCGACCUAUACACUACUACCAAACCAUAAUAAUGAGAUAACUGUUUGACAGCUAACGUCCUGUUUGAAUCCGAGUGUUAAUAAAUAAAAAUGCUAAACUUUAGCAUUAGUGUAUCCAAAUAAAAGUGCUAAUAGAUGGGGUGGGCUAAAGUUUAACAAAAAUUUAAAAAUAUUAGCAAAGAUAUGAAUGCUAAUAUAUACUGAAACCAAAAGGUGAGCGAUCAUUCCAGUUUCCAUAAGCAGAUCCGGCGUGAUGUGCAGUAAUCGCAGCUGUGCCGAUGCAAAUGGAUGCAAACCCAACAACCUCCCAUCGGCGUUAAAUGUGUAAUUCUCUUCCGACGAAACAGCCGUGGGGGCACCGACAAGAUCUCAUGGCGUCCUUGCCCACGGCGUGCGCGCCGGAUCGAUCCGGAGCGCGAACGAAAAUGAUAGGGCCAGAAGUCCAGAACUGCUCUCACAUCCUGCGCGCGUGCCCGGCCGGCCGGCCGGCAUGCCGGACGAUGACACCGUCACGACGCACGGAUCAUCAAGAACUCCUCCGAUAGUCCCUCCAUCCAUCGAACGUAGAACCCCUAGCUGAUGCUGAUCGAUCAUUCCCCAUCGCCGGACUGUGCGGAGCGGAGGAAGGAGGAGGUGUGGGAUCACCGGAGGAGGAGCCCCCGACAACGGCGGCCCGCGCGCAUGCCCCCGCGCCACCCUCACCUGCCGACACGCCACCGCACCCGCACGGCCACACGCCGCGCCGCGCGCGCGCGCUCCGGCGAGCGCGUGCGUGGCUGUGGCUCCACUCUCCCCUCCACGCCGGGCGGCGGGGGGCGCCGCACGAGACCUGCGCGGGCCCCCGCGAGGAGGAGGAAGGAAAGGAAAUGGCGCGAGACAAGC